rnacentral:rRNA from 1 species
GAAUUGCAGCCAUCGUGAAUCAUCGAGUUCUCGAACGCACAUUGCGCCCCAUGGUAUUCCAUGGGGCAUGCCUGUCUGAGCGUCGUUU